CCCUUAGAUGUUCUGGGCCACACGCGCGUUACACUGAUGAAGCCAGCGAGUAUAUCGCCUUCACCGGAAGGUGCGGGUAAUCUUGUGAAACUUCAUCGUGCUGGGGAUAGACCAUUGCAAUUAUUGGUCUUGAACGAGGAAUUCCUAGUAAGCAUGAGUCAUCAACUCGUGCUGAUUACGUCCCUGCCCUUUGUACACACCGCCCGUCGCUACUACCGAUCGAAUGGUUUAGUGAGAUCUCGGGAUUGGAGACGUUGCGCCGCAAGGCACAUCGUCCUCGAGAACUUGAUCAAACUUGAUCAUUUAGAGGAAGUAAAAGUCGUAACA
rnacentral:rRNA from 1 species